GACGAACGCUGGCGGCGUGCUUAACACAUGCAAGUCGAACGGCAAGGCCCUGCUUUUGUGGGGUGCUCGAGUGGCGAACGGGUGAGUAACACGUGAGUAACCUGCCCUUGACUUUGGGAUAACUUCAGGAAACUGGGGCUAAUACCGGAUAGGAGCUCCUGCUGCAUGGUGGGGGUUGGAAAGUUUCGGCGGUUGGGGAUGGACUCGCGGCUUAUCAGCUUGUUGGUGGGGGAGUGGCUUACCAAGGCUUUGACGGGUAGCCGGCCUGAGAGGGUGACCGGCCACAGUGGGACUGAGAUACGGCCCAGACUCGUACGGGAGGCAGGAGUGGGGAAUAUUGCACAAUCGGCCGAAGCCGGAUGCAGCAACGCCGCGUGCGGGAUUAUGGCCUGCGUGUUGUAAACCGCUUUCGCCUGUGACGAAGCGUGUUUGACGGUAACGGAUAAAUAAGCACCGGCUAACUACGUG
rnacentral:rRNA from 1 species